UUUCUGCGAAAAGAGUGUUCCACUGUUGACUUGAUUCAAGAGGAAAGUGUCAUUUCUGAGCAGAGAAGCUAUGUUAAAUACUUGAUAGAAUAUCCUCUAGAGACAGUGGCUUGUGUCAUUUCCAUAACAGAUUGACUCUGCAUUGCCCUUCUGAAACAAUGCUGCAGAUAUGCCAUCCUAUCUCUUUAACUAUUCAAUUGCUAUCUAGAUGUCUAGAUUCAGGAGAUACUAUGUGGUUUGAUCAGCUAUAGAAAAGAGUCUACAGCGUACCAGAUUGAGAGCCCUCAAAAUGUGAUAUACUAUAUAUAUAUGCAAUGAAAAGGUUUCUCUUCUUUCAUAGACUAUACAUAUAACUGGAUACAAGAAACGGGUGCAUUUAUAGCAGGAGUACUCUUAUAGCAGCAUUCUUAGGACUGGCAGGAGGCUUAACACACAAGUGAGCAUUACUGCUGGAGCUUAUGUCGCCCUCCACCCAUGGCACAAAGACGACCUUGCUAUCGUCAACGUCGGCGUGAACAAGGGCCAGUGACUGUUUCAGAAGAGAAAUGCAGAUCAGGUCCACGGACAACCUUGCCCUGGUUGUUGUACUGGGAUCCAUGGCAGGGGCAGAGGAACUUGUUCUCGGCUGCGUUCCACAGCACCACAUAGCCAAGAUGCGUGCACACGGGAGGGUCUUGUCGGACUCCACAUCACCCUACAACAUUCACACGAUUUCAGCAAGUUGCUCUGGGCCUGGGGUGAUCCAUCAGCUUCAUCUUUGCUUGCAUAGAUAUAACUUUGUGAAGGCUUCAGAAUGACCAUGGCCGUCUGAAUCUGAACAUACCUUGAGUCCAUGGGCGAGCAUGCGGCUGUUGGGGCCAUGCGUC